GUUGUUGUUGUCGCCUGAUCCGGCGGCGCCCGGGUGCUGUUUCUCCAGAACGGGAGCCAUCUUCUCUUUCUACAACCACAAAGGCAAGGCCCUGCUGCUUGGGCACCACUAGCACCGCCUUCAUCCAACUGGCCAAAGACCAAAGAACUACAGAUUCUUCACAACCUGCUCAAACUCUUGGUACAGGACCUCACCACACGGGUCAAGAAGGUUUCUGUCUCAUUUCUACUCUGAAGCUCACCUUCUCCUGCUCAAACUGCUGACAAAUGUUUCUCCUGCUCUAAAGUCUGGUCUCCAGAACUUCCUAAAAACUCUCAGUCUCUUCUGCUGCAGGUUGCUUUGUAAAACUGUUCCAGAAAACCUCACUAAACCACAUGGAGGGGCCUCAAGAUAGUCGUCCAAAUGAAACCGUACAAAAACCAAACUAGCACAACCCAAAUGCUAAAGUCUCCUGCAGCCUACCAGAGAACCUCUGAGAACAGAGAAUCAGGACAGGAACUCUUACCUUCUGGACAACCAACCUUGGUUCUCAAACAAGAAUACAGAAUGUGUCUGACCAAAAACCUCUAAAGACUCACUACAGCCAAGAUAAAGACACAACUUAGCUGUACCAAAUCCACUAAUCACUGCACACAUUACCACCAUGUGCUAACUGUGGCUAAAGAACCACAUUUACCAAGACAACUAUCCAGUACAAAGCCCUAAAACACACCAAGAAACACAUUAAAGACGAUUUUACUGCUGGAAGCUGCAAGCCAACGCCUAAAGAACAAACUAAAGCAAAGGAGCCAAACCCACUUCAGUGGUGAAGAGAAGCAGAGGAAAUGUUUGUCUGCAGCUAAAUAAAGCAGGAAGACACUGAGCUGCUCAGGUGUUCCUGAUAACACCAAGCUGCUCAGGUGUUCCUGAUAACACCAAGCAGCCACCUGGACAGCCAAUAGGAAUACAGCCACCUGGACAGCCAAUAGGAACACAGGUUACUGGAAGUCCAGAGGGCUGGCUUAGUGAAGGAAAUUUAAUUAGGGUCCGAGCACCGACUGGUGCGAAGACCCUAUUGGAAUGCAAGGAAUUAUUUAUUAUUAUUAUUAUUAUUAUUAUUAUUAUUAUUCUUUUCCGGACUUUUGAAUUGCCUUUUUGGCGGCCUUAUCAUACCCCAAAAUGCAUCAAACGUGGCAUGCUCAUCAGGCCUCGCGAAAAAUUUGAUAUUUUAUGGGAGUUGCGCAUGUGUGUGGCAAAAUGGCUCCAUAGCGCCCCCUGGAAAAUUGAAAAUUUGGUCAUUAGGCCAACUUGCACGAUGUUUCAUGUACAGCUACAAAAUUUUGCAUGCAUAUUCAGCACAUCAGGAAACCCAAAAAAGUCAAUCAUGACCACGCCUUAACACCAACAGGAAGUCGGCCAUCUUGAAUUAGCUGUAAAUUUUUCAAAAUUAAUAACUCAUCGGGGAUAAGUCCGACAGACGUCAAAUUUGGCCAAUAUAUGCAAACACGCGACCUGAUGAAAAAUUAUCAAAAUGUUCAUUUCAUUUCAAAGGGCGUGGCCAUGGCGACUCCCAAAAAAAUGGAUCCUUCGCCAUGAAACAGGAAGUGGUGUCUAACUCAGCUGUACACGGUCCAAUCUGCCUGAAAUUUGACAUGUGUGAUCAAUGUCCAGCCCUGACAAUAUCCAUGUGGUUAUAUUCAUUCACAGUCAUAGCGCCACCUUGUGGUAGCAGGAAAUUGACAUUUUUCACACUUUGAUGUACUAUUCUUAGCACGUUGAUCAGAUUCACCUCAAAUGUGGUAACAUAAGCCUGAACACAUUGAUGAUGAUUCCCAAAGAAAAUGGUGACUCGUCGUCAAGGGGCGUGUCUGUGGCAUUGCGGCGAAUUUCGAUUUCUCGCCAUAAAAAUUGAAUUAUUAAUAUCUCAGCUGGAAAUGAUCCAAUCCGGACCAAACUUGGACACCAGUCCGGUUCUGACCACAUCCACAUUCAUAAAUUUAGAAAUACUCAUAGCGCCACCUAUUGGCAACAGGAAGAAAUUGUCAUUAUAUUUGCACGUGCCAUUGCCUGAUACUUUGUCAUAUGAUUCUGAAAAUUGGUCAGGUGAGUGACCACACAUUGACGAUGGCACAGUGUGAAGAUUUUGACGAUUCAUAAAACGCUGUUGCCGUGGCAACGUAUCGUUGCCGGAAUAAACAAAGUACUUUUUGACAGGUUAAAAAUGCUCAAAUGCUCGCCAAAAUUGCCACACAUAUCUGGACCGGCAACCCAUUUCAGAUUUUAGGAAAACUGCACAUGUGUUUGGCAAAAUGGCUCCAUAGCGCCACCUGGAAAAUUUCAAACAUUUACUACGGCCAGUACGUGUCACCUAGAAUUAUGAAACUUGGUAGGCAUAUGUAACUCGUCAAGACACACCAAAAUGUAAUUAACAGCCAUGCCCAAAACCCAACAGGAAGUCGGCCAUUUUGAAUUAUAUGUCAUACGUUUUGACGAUUUUGGGUCAUUUUUGUACAUUUUCAAAAGCUAUAAACUCACAUAGGGUAACACCGAGAGAGCUGAAAUUCGGCCAGGAUGUAGUCCAGGCAUGGGUGAUCAAAAGUUAUCAAAAUGCUCACCUUAAGUCUGAGGGCGUGGCCAUGGCGGCCUCGUGAAUUUUGAUGCUUCGCCAUGAAACAUCAACUGCUGUGUAACUGCCCUAAACAUGCUCCAAUCUGCCUCAAACUUUACAGGUGUGAUCAGAGUCCAGUCCUGAUCACAUCCAUAGGCCGACAUAAACUCUCGGUCGCAGCGCCACCUGGUGGUUGGAAGGAAAUGCUCUAUAACUAGCCUGGACAUGGUCCGAUCUGCCUGAAAUUUUACGUGUGAUCAGAGUCUGACCCUGAUCACAUCCAUAGGCCAAUAUACACUCUCGGUCGCAGCGCCACCUGGUGGAUGGACAGGAAAAGCUCUAGAAGUAGCCUGAAUAUGCUCCAAUCUGCCUGAAAUUUUGCACGUGUGAUCAGAGUCCAGCCCUCAUCGCAUCCAUAGGCCGACAUGCACUCUCGGUCGCAGCGCCACCUGGUGGAUGUGCGUGGAUUCGCCGACCAGCAAGGAUGCGAGGACCCGUCCAACGCUGCUUGCAGCUUUAGUUUACUUUUUGAUCGCAACAACUUGUCAAGAUAUGGAAAUGAUUUUAAUUUGAUAUUCAUUUCCACGUGUAGUAAUCCUGACACCACAGCAUACAAACUAAACAGGAACUAUUAAGGAAGAAGUUUCGGUUAUCUCCCUGCCUUGUAAAUGGAGAAAAUUUAUUUUUAAAAAAUGCAUAAAAGUUUUCUUGGUGCAUGAACUGAGGCUGCUGACUGACCUUAUAUUGCACAAUGUUCAAUGUCUUUAAAUAUUUUCACAGUAAGGAUUCAUCUGUCGAUCUAUCUAUACCUGAAACCUGAUCCUCUGUAUAUAGUCUUCUACAUGUUUGUUGUUUUUUUUUUUUUAAGAAUAAAGUCAUCUGUAUAUAAUGC